rnacentral:rRNA from 1 species
AAGAACGCAGCGAAAUGCGAUACGUGGUGCGAAUUGCAGAAUCCCGUGAACCAUCGAGUUUUUGAACGCAAGUUGCGCCUGAGGCCAGCUGGUCGAGGGCACGUCCGCCUGGGCGUCAAGC